rnacentral:ncRNA from 3 species
UGGAAGACUUGUGAUUUUGUU